rnacentral:rRNA from 1 species
CCUACGGGAGGCAGCAGUGGUGGAUAUUGCACAAUGGGGGGAACCCUGAUGCAGCGACGCCGCGUGGGUGAAGAAGCGCCUCGGCGCGUAAAGCCCUGUCAGCAGGGAAGAAAAUGACGGUACCUGAAGAAGAAGCCCCGGCUAACUACGUGCCAGCAGCCGCGGGAAUACGUAGGGGGCAAGCGUUAUCCGGAUUUACUGGGUGUAAAGGGGGCGCAGACGGCGAUGCAAGCCAGGAGUGAAAGCCCGGGGCCCAACCCCGGGACUGCUCUUGGAACUGCGUGGCUGGAGUGCAGGAGGGGCAGGCGGAAUUCCUGGUGUAGCGGUGAAAUGCGUAGAUAUCAGGAGGAACACCGGUGGCGAAGGCGGCCUGCUGGACUGCAACUGACGUUGAGGCCCGAAAGCGUGGGGAGCAAACAGGAUUAGAUACCCGGGUAGUC